GAUGAACGCUGGCGGCGUGCCUAAUACAUGCAAGUCGAGCGAACGGACGAGAAGCUUGCUUUUCUGAUGUUAGCGGCGGACGGGUGAGUAACACGUGGAUAACCUACCUAUAAGACUGGGAUAACUUCGGGAAACCGGAGCUAAUACCGGAUAAUAUUUUGAACCGCAUGGUUCAAAAGUGAAAGACGGUCUUGCUGUCACUUAUAGAUGGAUCCGCGCUGCAUUAGCUAGUUGGUAAGGUAACGGCUUACCAAGGCAACGAUGCAUAGCCGACCUGAGAGGGUGAUCGGCCACACUGGAACUGAGACACGGUCCAGACUCCUACGGGAGGCAGCAGUAGGGAAUCUUCCGCAAUGGGCGAAAGCCUGACGGAGCAACGCCGCGUGAGUGAUGAAGGUCUUCGGAUCGUAAAACUCUGUAAUUAGGGAAUAACAUAUGUGUAAGUAACUGUGCACAUCUUGACGGUACCUAAUCAGAAAGCCACGGCUAACUACGUG
rnacentral:rRNA from 1 species